AGAAUUUAUUCACAUUAUACCUGUGAAUUAAAACUGACUUCACAAUGAUGUUAAUCAACUACAAGUUUUUGGAAAUGGACCUUACACGAUAUCAGGUUGGACUGGUUUAGAUGAAGAUGAAGACGCCCAUGUCUGGGAAGAUAACUGGGAUGACGACAAUGUAGAGGACGAUUUUUCUAACCAGUUAAGAGCUGAAUUAGAAAAGUUUGGAUACAAGAUGGAAACCUCAUAGGUGAAGUCCCGCAGGAUAAGAAUGUGUGUCUGAAAAAUAAAGAAUUCUGAAUAAAUGUUUAAAACAGAACAGUUUUUCAUUUUCUCCAAACCCACCAAGUUGGAUUGCCUAGACUAAAUUUACAUGUGGCAAACAUAAUACUGGAAAGCAAGGUGUAAUGGAAAAAGAAAUGUUGUUCAAAAUCCUUUGCGAAGGAGGACAUAACUUUUUGUGAAUCUUCCUUUUAUAUUUUCAUAAAUUGUUUUGAAAUGUAGUGUAGCCUGUAAAGUUUUCUCCUCAUUCUGUAAUGGUUCCAUUCAUGACAGAACACUGUGUUAGCAUGUAUAAAAACCCUGGACUCCAAAAACCUGUUUUACCAAUUUCAUUGAAGCUAUACUUUUUCAGUGGGUACAAAAGAUCAAAUUAUGAUUAAAGCUUUGCUUUUGAGGUUAUCUUAUUUUGUGCGAUGUAGACAUAAAUGAAAUAAAUCCUGAAGUUCA